rnacentral:rRNA from 1 species
UACGUAGGGCGCGAGCGUUGUCCGGAAUUAUUGGGCGUAAAGAGCUCGUAGGCGGCCUGUUGCGUCCGCUGUGAAAUCCCGGGGCUCAACCCUGGGCGUGCAGUGGAUACGGGCAGGCUGGAGGCAGGCAGGGGAGACUGGAAUUCCUGGUGUAGCAGUGAAAUGCGUAGAUAUCAGGAGGAAUACCGAUGGCGAAGGCAGGUCUCUGGGCUAUAACUGACGCUCAUGCACGAAAGCGUGGGGAGCAAACAGG